rnacentral:lncRNA from 10 species
CCAGAAUAGAAAUAUCCAUCUAAGCCUGGGAUAGAGGAGGAUUUCAGAAGCUUGUACAUAAAUAGAAGUGGCAAACUUAAUUCAUAAUCUGACUCCCAAAUUUGCAAUUAUUAACCUCUAGGUUUUCAGACACUCAAGACAAAACAAAAAAAUGCACAUUUAAAACAACAUACAACUAUAAGUUCAUCUACAGUGAACAUGUGAUAACUUCAGUUCUCUACAGACAGAAUCCUAGGAAACUUCAAUUCUCAGGGAUAAACACAGAAGGCAAAAUCUUGGAAGAGAUAAAUAGAAGGACUAACCAGAAAGUUGUGAAGGAAACCAAGAGAGAGUUGCAUUGAAAACCCAAGGGAGUAGAAAAUAUCAACAGAAGCUGAGUGCCAAGAAGUACAAUAAAUUAAAGGCAAAAGUAAAUAAAUAAAUACAUAAAUACAUAAAUAUAAUUGGGUUUCAUAAUCGGGAAGUCAUUAGAAAGAGUUCUACUUAGUUGUAUAAUUUUGGUUUUGGCAUGUUUGUCUUUACUUAGUUCAUGCUAAUAAAUACCAGACUAAAAAUAUCUUUUUAAGCUCAGACUAAAAAAAAUCAACUUUUUUAGUUUGAAUGGCAAGAGGUUAUGGCAGAAUAAAGAGACUUAAGAGAGAAUGGAGGGAAAAUUGAUAAAGCAAAAGGAAUCAAGCUGAAAAUUCACAAAGAUAGAAGAAGAAUGAAGUUCAAAAUACAAAUGCCUGGGUUGGCUUUGGACAAAAGAAGCACUACUUCAUUUGAAGUUGGGCAGCAACAGGAAUAGAAUAUUCCAGACAGGAGCUGUUCCUUUAACCUGGAUCACAGAAUGGAAUUUCAAGUGAAGCAGACCUUUAGUCAACCCAUAGACCUACAGCGGAGCCACAGACAAAUCUCAGGCUUCAUACAUGAGAAAUAAAUUGAUGUUUAUUUGUGUAAACCAUUUUAAUUUAGUAGGCUGUUUCUUACCUCAGAAAAAGCUAACCAAUACAAUUUCUUAUGAUGAUCAUGUGUUAUAAUGGAUACAUUGUUAUUACAUACGUAAAUGAAUGAUUAUUUUCCCUUUCCCAAACAAUUAGAAAAGUUUGGUUUUUAAUGAGUGACAAAAUAUUGUCCUUUG